AGAGUUUGAUCCUGGCUCAGGAUGAACGCUAGCGGAGCGCCUAACACAUGCAAGCCGAGCGAUCUUUGCCAUGAUUUUCUUUUUAUCUUCGGAUAUUAAGAAUUGAUUGGAUUUCAAAGAAAGCGGCAGACGGGUGAGUAACACGUGCCUAACAUGCCCUGGAGAGGAGGACAACUGAGGAAACUCAGCUAAUCCUCCAUAAUCCCUUUUUUCUUAGGAAAUAAGGGCAAAGGAUUUUAUCCGCUCUAGGAGUGGGGCGCGGCUUAUCAGCUAGUUGGUGAGAUAAAAGCUCACCAAGGCAACGACGAGUAGCCGGAUUGAGAGGUUGAUCGGCCACAAUGGGACUGAGACACGGCCCAUACCCCUACGGGGGGCAGCAGUGGGGAAUCUUGGGCAAUGGCUGAAAGGCUGACCCAGCGACUCCGCGUGGAGGAAAAAGCCUUAAGGGGCGUAAACUCCUUUUCUGGGAGAAGACGACUGACGGUACCCCAGGAAUAAGGGACGGCUAACCACGUGCCAGCAGCCGCGGUAAUACGUGGGUCCCAAGCGUUAUCCGGAAUUACUGGGCGCAAAGUGUCCGUAGCCGGCUGUGUAAGUCUGCUUUCAAAUACCUUAGCUCAACUAAGGCACGGGGGUAGAUACUGCAUAGCUAGAGGUAGUUAGAGGCCAAUGGAAUUCCCGGUGGAGGGGUGAAAUCCGUUGAUGUCGGGAAGAAUGCCGAAAGCGAAAGCAGUUGGCUAUGACUAACCUGACGGUCAGGGACGAAAGCUUGGAUAGCAAACAGGAUUANAUACCCUGGUANUCCAAGCCGUAAAUGAUGCUCGCUAG
rnacentral:rRNA from 1 species